CUCAAUGAAAUUUAAAUAGCCGCAAUUCUUUGUGCUAAGGUAGCAUAAUAACUUGUCUUCUAAUUAAAGACUAGAACAAAAGAUUAAAUAUUUUCAUUAUUAUCUAAAACACAAAUCACUAAUCUAUCUUAAAUAUAAAAAGAUAUUUAUUCAAAAAAAAGACGAUAAGACCCUAUUAAACUUAACUAAAGUUAAACUGGGGAAGUUAAUCAAUUAUAUUUUAAUUUAAAUAUUAAAAAAACCUAAUUAAAUUAAAUAUAUCAAGUUACUAUAGGGAUAACAGCGUAAUUAUUUUCUCAAGAUCUUAUUUAAAAACUAGUUUACGACCUCGAUGUUGAAUUAAUAUUCUAUUAAAUGCAACAAUUUAAUAAGAAAGUC
rnacentral:rRNA from 1 species